UUGCUUCUCCUUGUGCGCCGCCGCCCCCAUCUUCUCCUUCAUGUGCGCCGCCGCCCCCCUCUUCUACUUCCUGUGCGCCAUCGCCGCCGGCACGCCACCUCCUCCCUCAUCCGGUCAUCCCUCACCGCAUCCGUUCCCAGGCGCCGCUCCUUGCUCCGCGAGCGGGACGCUGGAUCCCACCUCGCCGCGGUCACCCUCUGCGAGCGGGACGCCGAAUCCCACCUCGCCGCGUCAACCCCCCCGCGAGCAGGACUUCGGAUCCCACACUGUCGACGCCGACCUCCGCAGAAGAAGAGUUUGAGCUGGUAUUCAAGCAUGACUGCAUAUGAAGCAGCUUCAGGCGAACUCCGUUGGAUCUGGGCUUGGAUCCACAAGCAGAGAAGCACGCGCUGGACGUGGUUCGCUUGAGUGAUUGUUCAGUUCCAUAUCGAAGCUUUGAAGAAACAGCUUAGUGUGAUGAAGCUCUAAUGAAAAAGGAGAGAUGGCAAGCUGUCGGCUGCCUUUAUACAAGGAGCCUUCCUAGAUUGCUAGGCUAGGAUUGUGAUGGCAGAGUUUGCGUAUCAGACUGAGGGAGGGUGCACAGAUAAACCAACCCAGACACCUAGCUAGCAGCAGCACUCUUCCUGACAUUGGAAAUGGUGCUCUUCGAUUUGCUGCUGAACAAAUCUGAGGAUGUGGCCUAUGGCAAUGUUUCAACCUGACCUAUUGCAGCUACGUAUUUCGACAAUUCAAUAUGUGCCAAGAAUUUGAAGGAGUGAAGAAAUGGCACAACUGCUAUGGACGUCAAGCUACAAGAGUGAAUACAAAUUGGUGAAAUCAAGAGACACCAACAAGCUUGCAAGAAAUUGCUAGCUGUUAUUUGGCACUAUACUUUGAUUCAAAGUGUAUAGAGAUGCUCUGUAAAGCCUUCUUUUGAACAGUCAAAGUGUAUGUUAGCUUUGUAUGAUGGAAUGCAAAUGAUGGGCAAUGGACGCCUGCAUUAUUUUUUUGUUUUUUUAAUUCAACAUUGGUGACGGGUGUUGGUACAGCUAUGUAGCUACGUCACUGAUAUCUUAUUAGUGACAUGUAUUUUCUAAAGCCGUUACCUUUCUUUGUUAUUAGUGAUGUGUGUAUCGAUAGCCGUCACCUUUAUGUGUUAUUGGUGACGUGUGAACUCUACAGUCGUCACCUUUAUGUGUUUUUAGUGACGUGUGAA